rnacentral:lncRNA from 1 species
CAGGGUUAAAUGCGAGCUGCUCGUUCUCUGCAAAGAAGUUAUCGAUGUUCCUAUUCAAUACCAAUCGACCAACUGGCAUCAAUGGCAAGAUAUCCUCAGGCCAAGUCUUGGUUACGUCAAGAGGGUCAAAGUCGAAUUUGUCAACAUCCUCGGGAUCCAUAAUUUGGAUAAAAAGUUUCCACUCAGGGUAGUUGCCAGCAGCAAUUGAAUAGUAAGAUCCUUGGUGGAGUGGCUAUGAUUAGUACCUACGACCUUAAUAGCUUCUUCCUCCGUCAUGGACUAGACACCGCAAGUUGGCUUCCAGUGGAACUUCACAUAAUGUGCUUUCCCAGCUUUUUUGAUCAAUUGAUAGGCGUGAAUACCAAAACCUUCCAUGUGUCUGUAAUCUGUCGGUAGACAAACAUCAUCGUAGAAGAAAGUAAACGUAUGCAAACUCUCCGGGAGGAAAGAGAAGAAAUCAAGGAUCCUCCAGUUUUCCUGAAUGUGUGACUUUGGAUUUGGUUUCUAUGCACGAAUCGUGUCGGGGAAUGACCUUGCAUCACGAUUAAAGAAGACGGGGACAUUGUUUCCAACAAGAUUAAAGUCACCCUGAUCACAUAAAUCAACAAUUGAACAAACACAAUCCAAGAAAGCCAGUAAGUUCAUGUGAAGUUAACUACAAGGUAGCUAUCCCUCUGGUGUAAAAUUUGACAGCAAAACCGCAAAUGUCCCUGAGGGAGUAUAUCUCAAAUAUUUUAAUAAUCCAAUUAUUGUGGCUUAUAGUACAUUUUACUUAGUUUUGAAAUAUAUAAAUUUUAUUUUAAAAAAAAAAUUUAGAAGGUUUAUAAGAAUAAUUUAAAAAAUUAAAGAUUUCAUGUCCAAAUUCAUGGUCAAAGUUACAUUGUUUGAAUUUCAACAACAAUAUACCCAAUAAAAUCCCACAACUGCGGUCUGUGAGGGUAAAGUGUACACAGACCUUACCACUACCUCAGGGAGGUAGAGAGGCUGUUUUCGAAAGACUCUCGACUUAAGUGUAGCAAAUCUAGGUACAAAAACAAAAGGAACCCAGUAUAGAUAAUAUGGCAACACGGACAGUGCAGAAUGUACCAUAAAAAAUAUUAAUCAACCACAGGGUAGUGCGAUAAUCAAUCAAAACAUAAUAAACAACAACAAAGACAUAUAUCCACGACUAAAUCUUACGCUACCACAUUACGACUAGUGUACGAAACACUCCUACCUAACCUUUUACUCUAACGUGCGUCUUCCAAAUUCCCUAUCUAAAGUCAUAUCCUCAGUAACUUGCUUGAUAAUCAGAAUAUGUGUCAUGUCAUGUCUAAUUACCUCUCCAAUACUUCUCGGACCUACUAUGUCCAACCUCUCGAACCUCUUUACUGGGGCGUCUAAAUCGCGCCUCACCACAUGUCCAAACCAUCUAAAUCUCGCUUUCCUCAUCUGUUCACCACGGAGGUCACUCUCACCUGAUCUCGAAUGGCUUCAUCCUAAUUCUAUCAAACCUAGUAUGCUCACACAUCAAUCUCAAUAUCCUUAUUGUUGCGGCAUACAUCUUCUGAACAUUGAAAUGUUUGACUGAACAAUACUCUGUCUCAUUGUUUGAAUCUUGAAAAUCAAAAUAUGCCACAUAAAUUGAAACAGAAAGAAUAAUAAAAAUUAAUUUUAUUAUUAAAAAUAGUUCUAAGAAAAAAAGAAAAUUUGUUAGUUCAAUUUUAAAACACUAUGUACUAAAAAUAAUUUGAUACAAUGGGGGCAUUACUAUUUUUUGCUUUAGGCAUUUCUUAAGUCUUCAGUCAUAUAAGUCGGCAGUAUAAACUUCUUAAGACAUAAAGUUCUAAAAAAAAACCUAAACCUUGUAAGGUAUAAUUUAUGCUUUGGCACUAUAAGUUCAGUUUUGAAACUUUAUGUUUCAAGAAAUUCAUAUAUUAGUUCGAUUUUAAAACUUUAUGUUUCAAGAAAUUCAUAUAUUAGUUCGAUUUUAAAACUUUAUGUUUCAAGAAAUUCACACACUAUCUGUUAAUCAUGAAACAUUAUUGCUUUAUCCGCCAUUCCUGGAUUUAAUGUUAAUUAGUGAAGCUGGUAUCGUUAUCAAUACAAGACAACCAAUCCGCUGAUUAUUUAGUUCAUGUUUGGCACUCUGGUUACUUAUAUAUCUCUUUCUAUUGGAUGAAACUAUCUCUCCGACCCCACUUGGUGGGAAUAUACUGGGUAUGUUGUUGCACUGAAUGAAACUAUCCUGAUUUUGUGAAUGCACACGACGUGCAUCAUUCGGAAAGAAAUAAUGCGUGCAGUAAGAUGAUUAGUACAGUCGGUAUCUUAUAUUUGUAAACUCCUCCAUUGCCAGACCCUCCUUGAUUCCUCUACUUAUGUGUAGCAAUCAAGAAGCAUCAUGCUUUUUUGGUUAAGAGUGAUAUGUACAGAUUCUGUUUACAUAACAGGCACUAAUCAAACGGCUUCUGUUCCACGUUAUCGUAGCUAGCUUCUUUGCAGAUGAUCGGGAAGAACCAACAUCAGCAAAUGAUUUCAAGGCAUCACCUUCUCCAUCAAAUGCCAAUCUUGGUGGUUCGACAGGUUCCAAUAGCCCACCAUCACGUGGCACCUCUAGCGAAUCAUCUGGUGGGCAAGGCAGUCCCCUGAAUCAUAGCGGUCCAGUAUGCAACAACGAAGAAGACUGAAGGGAUCUCGAGCAUGCCUUGGAAAUGAGUAGUUAUUAAUGCUCUCUUUUCUUGAUCAAUUGAACUUCUUGUCGCGACUAAAUUCACUGAAGUAGACUGAGGGGAUUGUAAUUUAGCUUUUUGUGUUUCAUCAAUCAUAGGAGAUGGUUUGGCUUUAGCUGUUAUUAUGUACUGUUACCUAGGGACAUCACUUCCCAUAUUAGCCAUCUUCAACUUACAGUGCAUCUUAUUGCAAUUCUGUGAUCUAGAAGAGUAUCAAUUAUGUUGAAAAGGUAAGUGUUAAUUAAUUUUGAAGGAUCGGAAACACUUGCCUUUUCAACAUAAUUGAUACUCUUCUAGAUCACAGAAUUGCAAUAAGAUGCGCUGUAAGUUGAAGAGGGCCAAUAUGGAAAGUGAUAUCCCUAGAUAACAGUACAUAAUAAUAGCUAAAGCCAAACCGUGUCCUAUAACUGAUGAAACACAAAAAGCUAAAUUACAAUCCCCUCAGUCUUCUUCAAUGAAUUUAGUCGCGACAAGAAGUUCAAUUGAUCAGAAAAGAGAAUAACUACUCAUUUCCAAGGCAUGCUCGAGAUCCCUUCAGUCUUCUUCAUUGUUGCAUACUAGACCGCUAUGAUUCAGGGGACUGCCUUGCCCACCAGAUGAUUCGCUAGAGGUGCCACGUGAUGGUGGGCUAUUGGAACCCGUCGAACCACCAAGAUUGGCAUUCGAUGGAGAAGGUGAUGCCUCGAAAUCAUUUGCUGAUGUUGGUUCUUCCCGACCAUCUGCAAAGAAGCUAGCUACGAUAACCUGGAACAGAAGCCGUUUGAUUAAUGCCUGCUAUGUAAACAGAAUCUGUACAUAUCACUCUUAACAAAAAAGGCAUGAUGCUUCUUGAUUGCUCACAUAAGUAGAGGAAUCAAGGAGGGAGAAGGUCUGGGAAUCGAGGAGUUUACAGAUAUAAGAUAUUGACUAUUACUCAGCAUACUGCACGCAUUCUUUCUUUCUUUUCCGAAUGAUGCACAUAGCGUGCAUUCACAAAACUAGGAUAGUUUCAUCUAAUGCAACAACAUACCCAGUAAAUUUUCCACCAAGUGGGGUCUGGGAGAUAGUUUCAUCCAAUGGAAAGAGGUAAAUAAGUAACUAGAGUCCCAAAACAUGAACUAAAUAACAACCGGAUUGGUUGUCUUGUAUAGAUACCAAUACCAGCUUCACUAAUUACCAUUUAACAUUAAAUCCAGGAAAGGCGGAUAGAGCAAUAGUGUUUCAUGAUGAAUGAUCAAUAGAUAGUACAUAUGCUACAUAAAUCGAUAUUUGAAACUUAUGAGGAGGCUAACCUGGACUGGCGAUGCCGCAGUUAGCACACCCGCCACACCACCACCGAAAAUGCGUCCAUCAGAUCUAGCUAAUGACACACUGAAUCCACCUUUUUUGCUUUGUUGACUGCCAAUUUGAGACGGUACAAAUGAACCAGACAGAGACACUAUGUCAAAUCGUCCCUACAGGAGGAAAAUGUCAAAAAGCACUCCAACGCUGAAAUGAUGCAAGGAUAUACAAUACGAAAAGAGCGAUGCAGAAGAGCAGAUAUAUCAACAGACCUGUGUGUUCUAGAAGAGACAAUCAACUAAUUUUAGGCACAGAAUGAAGUUGAAAUUAACGAAUAAGAUUAAAAUGAUACGAACUGCAAAUGGAUUUUGGAAAUAAUAGUAAAAAUAAACACGGGCCGAAUUAAAUAACCACGAACUACUGAAGCUUUAAGUGCAAAGCACAUCAAUGUGUGGGUUUAAGUGAAAAGAAGGGUGCUAAUGAAUAUAAAAAUAAAAAAAUAUAAAACGCAAUGCAGAAACAACUAUAAAAAAAACCAUCAAUUAUUUGGAAAAAAAAAUUGAAAAGUCAUAAUUAGCUGAAGUAUGUGAGUAUGAACGUGAUAUGCUAAAAAAAGUAACAUAUAUUAAGAAGUAAACCUCAUAGGUCACAGUUCCACCAAACAUUUGUCGAAGAGUCACAUUUGUUAUUGCACCAGUGGCAGACAAGAUGCAAACAGCCCUCGGAGCAUUCUGAGAAAACAACAUUAAUUUAUAUGCCACAUCCUGAAAAUCAGAUCGCAAGGAUUAGUAAUGCAAAAUAUACUGAUCUUUGACUUAAUAUCUAGAAAAAUAUCACAAGUGUCCAAACCAUUACAAGGAUCCAAAGGCAACACUGGAAUUCAAUUACAUAAGAUCCACAAGCACCCACAAAAAUCUUAGAUUAAUUAAUUUGACAGGGCAGAAAUUUCUAAUAUAAAUUUCAAAACGAGGAUUCAGUUGUGCAACUCUUGAGGCAAUAAAUUAAAAAGAAAACUUCUAUAAAUUGACAAUAAGAGUCUCUCACCUACCUAUAUAAGCGUAUGUGACUUCAUCAGUCAGCACACCUCUUUUGAUAGCCGCCUGCAAAGUUAAAGACACUAUCUUACGCUUGAAUAAUUACGGUGGCACCUUUUAUAAUGUCAAUUUUGAAAGAAAAAAAUGCUAGAAGUUUUGAAGAUAAACAAAAUUCAUCACAAAAGCUCAAGAUGAAAUAUAUUCAAUUGUUCUAGCGUUGAUGUAAAUAAACUAGAUUAGAGGAGAGAGAUUCCCCCGAUAGUCUAGAUAGGAUCCCUAUAAAAUUCCAUUUGCACAGUCAGGAUCUUCGUUUACUUGUAUUUAUGGUGCUGCCAACUUAGUGUUGAUUAUGUAUAUGUAUGUUACCAAUCAAAAAGAAAAACAAUAGCAGAAGGUACAUUCCUAUUUAAUAUUCCGUUGUGACGACUUUGUGUAUGUAUAUGGACUUCAACACCCUUAUCAUUUAUUGCUAAUUUCAUAAACAAAGAUUCUGAUUGUCCAAAAGAAAUUUACAAGGAUCCUAUCUAAACUAUCAAGGAAUCUGUCUUCUCUAAUCUAUGUCUGUUACAUCAACGAUCAAACAAUUGAAUACAACCCAUUUUGAGCUUUUGUUAGGAAUUUUGCUUACCUUCAAAACUUCUAGCAUUUCUUUAUUUCCAAAUUGACAUUAUAGAAGUCUCCACCCUAAUUACUCGAGAGUCGGAGAGAGUCCUUCAUAAUGCAGGCGGCUAUCAAUAAAGUUGUGUCAGACUGAUGAAGCCACAUACGCUUAUAUACGUAGGCUAGAGACUCUUAGGCAAAAACAUUAACCCUAUAGACUUUUUCAUAAAAUAUGGUAGCCCUACGAAAACUUUUGUAUAUUUUACGAAAAAGUCCUUAGGAUUAAAGUUUUUACAUAAGAGUCUCUAACCUACCUAUAUAAACGUAUGUGACUUCACCAGUCUGCACGCCUCUUUUGAUAGCCCCCUACAAAGUUAAAAGACUAUCCUACGCUUGAAUAAUUACAGUGGCAACCAUUAUAAUGUCAAUUUUGAAAGAAAGAAAUGCUAAAAGUUUUGAAGGUAAGCAAAAUUCAUUACAAAAGCUCAAGAUGAGUUGUAUUGAAUUGCUCUAUCGUUGGGGUAAAUAAACUAGAUUAGAGGAGAUAGAUUCCCUCGAUAGUCUAGAUAGGAUCCCUAUAAAUUCCUUUUACACAGUCAGGAUCUUCGCUUACUUGUAUUUAUGGUGGUGCCAACUUAGUGUUGAUUAUGUAUACGUAUGUUACCAAUCUAAAAGAAAAACUAUAGCAGGAGGUACAUUCAUAUUUAAUAUUCCUUUGUGACGGAUUGGUGUAUGUAUAUGGACUUCAACAUCCUGAUUGUGCAAAAGAAAUUUACAAGGAUUCAAUCUAGACUAUCAAGGAAUCUGUCUUCUCUAAUUUAUUUUCAUUACAUCAAGGAUAGAAUAUUGAAUACAACUCAUUUUGAGCUUUUGUGAUGAAUUUUGCUUACCUUCAAAACUUCUAGCAUUUCUUUCUUUCGAAAUUGACAUAAUAAAAGAUUUCACCCUAAUUGCUCAAGGUUCGAAGAAAGUCCUUCACGAUGCACGCGGCUAUCAAAAGAGUCGUGCCAGACUGAUGAAGUCGCAUAUGCUUAUAUAGGUAGGCUAGAUAUUCUUAGGCAAAAACUUUAACCCUAAGGACUUUUUCAUAAAAUAUGGUUGCCCUAUGAAAACUUCUGUAUAAUUUACGAAAAAGGCCCUAGGGUUAAAGUUUUUGUGUAAGAGUCUCUAACCUACCUAUAUAAGCGUAUGUGAUUUCAUCAAUCUGCAAGCCUCAGCUGCAAAGUUCAAGGCUCUAUCCUACACUUGAAUAAUUACGGUGGGACCUUUUUAUAAUGCCAAUUUUAAAAGAAAGAAAUGCUAGAAGUUUUGAAGGUAAGCAAAAUUCAUCACAAAAGUUCAAGAUGAAUUGUAUGCAAUUGUCCCAUCGUUGAUGUAAAUAAACUGGAUUAGAGGAGACGGAUUCCUUGAUAGUGUAGAUAGAAUCCCUAUAAAUUCCUUUUGCACAGUCAGGAUCUUUGCUUACUUGUAUUUAUAGUGCUGCCAACUUAGCGUUGAGUGUGUAUAUGUAUGUUUUUUCUUUUGAUAACUGAUUAUGUAUACCUAUGUUACCAAUCUAAAAGAAAAACUAUAGCAGAAGGUACAUUCCUAUUUAAUAUUCCAUUGUGACGGCUUUGUGUAUGUAUAUGGACUUCAACAUCCUUAUCAUUUAUUGCUAAUUUCAUAUGCAAAGAUUCUGACUGUGCAAAAGAAAUUUACAAGGAUCCUAUAUAGACUAUCAAGAAAUUUGCCUUCUCUAAUUUAUUUAUUUUACAUCAACGAUAGAACAAUUGAAUACAACUCAUUUUGAGUUUUGGUGAUGAAUUUUGUUUACCUUCCAAACCUGUAACAUUUCUUUCUUUCCAAAUUGAUAUUAUAAAAGGUUCCACCCUAAUUGCUCAAGGUUCGGAGAGAGUCCUUCACUAUGCAGGCAGCUAUCAAAAGAGUCGUGCCAGACUGAUGAAGCCACAUACGCUUAUAUAGGUAGGCUAGAAACUCUUUAGGCAAAAACUUUAACCCUAGAAACUUUUUUCGUAAAAUAUGGUUGUGCAUAUUUUAUGAAAAAGUUCCAAGGGUUAGUUUUUGCCUAAGAGUUUCUAACCUACCUAUAUAAGCGUAUGUGACUUCAUCAGUCUGCACGCCUCUUUUGAUAGCUGCCUGCAAAGUGAAAGACUCUCUCCUAUGCUUGAAUAAUUACGGUGGCACCUUUUAUAAUGUCAAUUUUGAAAGAAAGAAAUGCUAGAAGUUUUGAAGAUAAACAAAAUUCAUCACAAAAGAUCAAGAUGAGUUGUAUUCAAUUGUUCUAUCGUUGAUGUAAAUAAACAAGAUUAGAAGAGACAGAUUCCCCUGAUAGUCUAGAUAGGAUCCCUAUAAAUUCCUUUUGCAUAGUCAGGAUCUUCGCUUACUUGUAUUUAUGGUGUUGCCAACUUAGUGUUGAUUAUGUACAUGUAUGUUACUAUUCUAAAAGAAAAACUAUAGCAGAAGGUACAUUCCUAUUUAAUAUUCUGUUGUGAUGGCUUUGUGUAUGUAUAUGGACUUCAACAUUCUUAUCAUUUAUUGCUAAUUUCAUAAGAGUUCUCUGUUUUAAAUUUAUUCCUUAACAGUUGUGCAAUUGAUUCCUCUGUUUCCUAAAACUUAUAUUAUAAAUUUCUACCCUGUUGAAUUAAUUGAUCAAGCAUUUUCAUGGAUUCUCGUGGAUCAUGUGUAAUAGAAUAUGAAUGAUGAUUUUUGACUCUUUUCUUUCAUUUUUCUUCGUCUUUUUUUAUUUCCUUUUUUGGGUUGGGUUGGGUGGGGUAGGGAUAUAGCUAUCAAAAUGGGUUGGCCCAACCUAACACAACCCAAACCUAGCGGGCUAGAGAAUUAAAUGGGCCAGGAAGGGCUAGCCUUUUUAAUUAAAGGGCCUUUAAAAUAGUGGCCCGACCCAACCCUAAGUGGGCCACGGGUUGGGGCGGGCCGACCCUUCAGAAAAAAUAAAAACAACCUGAAACAUGAUAAACGAAAAUAUUAUAAGUACUAGACUAUCACCAACUUUUAUGGUUUCACUUUAAUAUGUCUCUUACUAGUUUUUAGCAUGUAAUAGGCAUCUUACUAAUACCUUUAAGGGUCGUUAGGUUGGGAAAAAGUUUAUCCUGGGAAAAUUAAUCUUGAAAUUAGUUAUUCCAUUAUGUAUACGGAUAAUUUAUCUCAUCACUAUGGUGUAAAUGGUGAGACAAAUAAUGCUAGUACUAACUAAUACCUCAGGCUAAACAUGGGAUAAAAUAGUCCUUUAUUUUAUCUCACACUAUUUAUCCCUUAUACCUCACAGCAAACGAUCCCUUAGUUGUAAUUAGCUCGUGAUAUUUACUGUAAUAAGCAAAGAAAUGAUGAUUAGCUACAAAUUUCAUAGAAAAAUUCUAAUAUGCUUAAGAUAAUAAAUAUAGAUAUACACAAAGUAUCUGCAUAAAAGAAGCAAGAUUAUAACAUAAGAGAGCCUAAAUUUAAAGAACAGAUUAUUGCAUUAAGCAAAGGCAACAACUACUAAACCAUCACGAGUAAAAGCAACUCUUUGAAGUUCACAACUAAAAGCAGCUUACUAGCCAUACACAUAAUAAGAACUACCAAAAAAUUAGUAUCAACCAAAGAAUAGAUAAAACAAUAAGUCGCUAGUUAGAAAAGAUUGACAAAAUUCUAAUUCCUAAUAAAUAAAUGACCAACUUAAAAAUAUUUAAUAAUUACUUUUAAUGUCCCAGCCCAUGGGCUGACCUCUGAGGCUGACGGGUCAGGCCUCUGAGGCCGACGGGCCUAGUGAGGCUGGGCUUAUAAGCCUCAUUUCUAAAUGGGCUGAAAAAACUUAGCCCAAUCCCACUUAAUUAAAGGGUUGGGUUGGGCCGGCCUCACGGGCCAAGCCCAUAUUGACAGCUCUAGGUAGGAAGAUUGAAUACAUGUGUCGCUUCCCCCUCUAUGAUAAAUUUCCCCAUUAUCCUGUGUUGUUUUCUGAUUGCAGGAACAAUAGGAUCCAGUUUCACACCACAUAUUAUCGUUGUGAAGACUAGAGAGGUUACCCCUUCUUUGAAUGUUAUAUAGAAAAUCUUUUCACUGACUUGAAGAACAUUUAAUUUCUUAUGGAACUCGGAAAUAGCCAGCAGUACUCUUAUGUUUUGAACUACAAUUAUUCCAUAGUAGUUUUGCAAUCAAUAAAUUCAAAAAAAUUGGUAGAAGUUGACUUGGUUGGAAGUCGUGGACAAUAUCUUAGGAAAAGAGUUAUAGAGUGUCAAUAAUGCAUAUCCUCUCAAAUGAUGGCCAAAAAUUUAUUUUAUACUGAUUACAAGUCACUUUAGUAACGAGUCUUGUAUUGCUGACAUAAAGAAUAGAUAGUGAAAAAUGUGUUUCUAAAAGGAAUUUCUUCAAAUGUAGCAUCCCUAGUAAAUGAGCAUAACUUUAAGUCAAUAUGACUAACAUCUCUCUUAGAAAAGCUUUUAAUUGUGUCGUUUAAAGAAACUCCAUAAGUUUUAUAGACUUUCGAAUCCUAAAAGUUAUUUUAAAAAAAAAUCCUAAAAGUUACUAUUAACCGAAGAUACUCUAAACCAGUGUCAUCAAAGGUCAUUUCAUGCUUAAAGAGAUGGAAUGAUACGAUGCAGGAUGAUUAAAUUAUUAAUGUAGCUUCAUACGUAAAUUUGGAGAUAGCUUCAUAGGUUAUAUAAGCUAAUCUCAGGAGUAGCAUACUUUUUCAUUUCUACCUUCCUCUCUCAAUUAUGUUUUAACCAAACAAGGACAGUGCCCUUUGACCCUCAUUUUCUUGCCCAGUAGCCAUGAAACCCCUCCUCUUAGCAACCAACCAAAUAUAAAGGUAACCCUUUGGUGAUGCGGAUCUAAAAUUUCUGCAUGUGAUUGUUGUUUGGACUCUUACGAGUUACCUUGCUACCUGUUGCUAGUGGGAGAUAGCAGUUAUUCUGUUAAAUUAGUCAAGAAGAGCGCAAGCUAGGCUGAACAAACAUAAAUAAUUAACUACUUUUGAAAUAAAGUAUUAUUGACAACUAAAUAGCACAUCUGUCCUAGCUUCAAUGGAUAGAGUUAAUUCUACGUGUUGCUAGUAGGAGGUAGCAAGUAUCCCAUUAAAUUAGCCGAGUUAAGUCUACUUUUGAAAUAAAGUGUUAUGACAACUAAAUAUCUCAUCUGUCCUAGCCUCAGUAGAUAGAGUUACUUUGCUACGAGUUGCUAGUGGGAGGUAGAAAGUAUCCCGUUAAAUUAGUCGAGGUACGUCUACUUUUGAAAUAAAGUGUUAUGACAACUAAAUAUCUCAUCUGUCCUAGCCACAGGUCCACAGUAGACAGAGUUACUUUGCUACGAGUUGCUAGUGGGGGGUAGCAAGCACCUCGUUAAAUUAAUCGAGGUACGUCUACUUUUGAAAUAAACUAUAUGACAACUAAAUAUCUCAUUUGUCCUAGCUUCAGCAGAUAGAGUUAUUGCUACGUGUUGCUAGUGGGAGGUAGCAAGUAUCCUGUGAAAUUAGUCGAGGUACGUCUACUUUUCAAAUAAAGUAUUAUGACAACUAAAUAUCUCACAGUAGACAAAGUUAUUACUACGUGUUGCUAAUGGGAGGUAGCAAGCAUCCCGUUAAAUUAGUCGAGGUAAGUCUAUUUUUUAAAUAAAGUGUAAUGACAACUAAAUAUCUCAUCUGUCCUAGCCACAGUAGACAAAAUUACCUAAUAUCUAUUAUUGGAAAUAGUCGAGGUGCGAGCAAGCUAGCCUGAACAAAAAUAAUGAUCAACUACUUUUGAAAUAAAGUUCUAGGUGGCAGGCAUCCCGUGGAUUUAGGUGCGCAAAAAGCUAGUCUGGACAACACGAUUUUAAAUAAAAUUAAAAAUUUAAAAAACAAUAUCAAUAUGAAUAUGAAUAAACAUUAACAAGUUGGAGAGGUUUACCGGAAAUUGUCAAUUUAUUGCAUUUCGCCGGAACCGGAGACGGGAUUCACCGGGUCUUCCGGUGACAAACUGCCGGCGGCGGCGGACGUUAUUUUUCACCUUUAAAUCCCUGAUUUUAAUAUUUAUCCUUAUAAAUCUUAUUCAAGUUUUGACCUUGAAAAUCCCUGGUUUUAAUAUUUAUCCUUAUAAGUUUAUUUAAUUUUUGACCUUUAAAUUUCUUGUUUAAAUAAUUAUCCUUAUAAGUCUUAUUUAAUUUUUGACCUUUAAGUCUCUGAUUUUAAUGUUUAUCCUUAUAAGUCUUAUUUAAUUUUGACCUUUAAAUCUAUGGUUUUAAUAUUUGUCCCUGUGUCUCAAUUUAUGUGAAAACUGAGUGCUUUUACUUGUCAUUUUUUGACACAUUCAUUCAUUAGGAAAAUAAUUAUUGAUAUAUCUAUUUACCAUAUUAUCUUUGUUAAUUAAUGUUUAGAGUAAUACGUCUUGAAAAUGAUUUGAAAAAUAAACAACUAAUGCUAAUGAUAAAAUAUGAAAAUUUCCUUUUGUCAUUUUUUGAUCUGUCAAAAAUGACAAGAAAAAUAAAAAUGUAAUUAGAAAAAAAGUGACAAGUAAAAACGAACAGAGAGUAAAUAAAUUUUUGCUCCAAUGCACACUAUUAAGAAAAAUAAACUAGGACAUAAAUUAUACUUUUCUUUUCAUUUUUAUCCUUAUAAAUAUUAUUUAUCAAACUACUCUUAAAAUUUCAAACUAUAUUAAAGUAAAGUCAAUUAAGUCUCCUGAAACUCGUAACUUAAAAGUUUAAAUAAAUGAUAAAAUUGAAAAAAAAUUCAACAUACAUCUUGAAAACUGAACAAUUCACUUAUUUUGGACAUUAGAAAAUAACUCAAUAAUUUACUUAUUUUAGACCAGAGGGAGUAAAAUUUUUUCCUUAUACUAUGGAGGGUCUAUCGAAAAGAAUCUCUUCGUGCCGGGUGGCGGACCUAGAAUUUAGGGAUUGUGGGUGCCUCAAGGAGGUUCAAACCCAUACAUUAUAGUUCAAAGUUUUAAAGUUCCGCUUAAAAAUCAAACCACGCAGCUAUCCUUUUGAUAUUUAGGGUGCUUUUUUGACUUCAAUAUCAAAUUUUACAUGAUUUUUUUAUAAAUUAUAUUUAGUAUACGUCGCAUUUAAUUAGUUCUAGAGCACCACAAAAAUAUAUGUAGGUCUGCCCCUGCACCAUAAAAUAGAAAUAUGAUAUGAAAUUAUACUAGAUAUAUUAUUGUUCGAAAAUAAUUUGUCCGUCCAAAUCUAUACAAAUCAAAGUAGAAGUUCAAUUAGAAAGACAAGAAGGUUCAACGAGCAAAAUAUUAGAGUGUAAUUUAUUGGUAGAAAAAUGUGAUUUCUUACUGUUAGAGUUGUAACCCGAAUUUCGUUGGUUCAACCCUGAAAAUUUCGCUGUGUGACCCAUGUUUGUGAUUUUCAAUGGGGUCAGUGAUGGGCUCCAGGAUCGGGCUUAUGUUUUUGAGCCUAGGACCUAUUUGUGCGCGCGUACUAUAUAAGUGCGGUUUAGUGGGUUAUUUUUAAUUACAACAACAACAACAACAACAUACCCAGUGUAUUCCUGCAAGAGUAGGGUUUGGGAAGGGUAGGAUGUACACAGUCCAUACCGCUACCUCCGAGGAAGUAGAGAGGUUAUUUUCGAUAGACCCCCGGCUCAAAGUAGAGAACAGUAAACAAACGGAUGGAAAACAUAAUAGAAAAUCAGGACUAAGAAAUAAUAAAAUAGACAUCAGUAGUGGGUUAUUUUUAAUUAUUUAGAAAAUUCAUCCUUUUCCACAUUGUACUCUCUCUUCAUUAUAGUGAAACCUCCUCUGCGUUUGCCUGUGGUAUUUUUCGCAAGGGUUUUCAUGUAAAUCUGUGUGUUGUUCUUGUUUUUUUUACUUGUGGUUUGCUUAUUCUAUCCGAAUCAUAACAAAUUGGCAUCAGAGCAUAUUCGAUUGUUUUCUCGGGGAUGGCAACCAUGAAAUAUGAUAUUUCGUUGUUGGAUCGCAACACCAGAUUUUUGUUAUGGCAAGUUAAGAUGCGAGUUGUGCUCGUGCAGAUGGAUUUGGACAAUGCUUUAUUAGGGUUUGAUAGGAUGCCCUUAUCGUGGACGGACGAGGACAAACAACGUAAGGAUCGAAAGGCUCUAUUUCUGACCCACCUUCAUUUAUCCAUCAUAUUCUACGAGAUAUUUUGAAGGAGACCAAUGUCGUUGCAUUAUGGUUAGUUGUAUCUCAAACAACGACUUUAUUCCUAUCGCAUGUCUGAGGGUGCGUCCUUGGAGGAUCACCUAUCUGUAUUUAAGGAAAUCGUCUCUGAUUUAGAGACUCUAGAGUUUAAGUACGAUGAGGAAAAUCUAAGGUUGAUUUUGUUGUGUUCGUUACCUGCAUCAUACACGAACUUUAGGGAUACAAUUUUAUAAAGUCGUGAUACCCUGAUGAUAGAUAAAGUCUAUGAUGUGUUGUUCUCUAAGGAGAAAAUGAAUCAUAUUGUGAAUGGGUCUCAUUGUUCGAGAAAGGACUCAUGAGAGGAAUUCUAGGGGUGAUGACAGGAAUAGGUCGAAAUCCAACAACAAAAACAAAACCUGUAAUUACUGCAAAAAGAAGAGUCAUAUCAAAUCCGAGUGUUAGAAGUUACAGAAUAGAGAGAAAAGAGAAGCUCCAAAAUCGAAUGGAAAUCAACCAGAGAAGUCCGGUGAAGCCAGUUUUGUUGAAGAUGGCGGUAGUGAUGGAGAACUCUUGGUAGUUUCUGAUGGUAACUCCAAACCAUGUGAGGAUUAGAUUCUUGAUUCAGCUUGCACUUUCAUAUGUGUCGCAAUCGGGAUUGGUUUACAACACAUGAAAUAGUCUUUAAAGAUGCCGUGUUGAUGGAAAAUAACACACCUUGUAAGAUAGGUAGUAUUGACAUAAUUAGAAUUAAGAUGUUUGAUGGGUUUGUGAGGACACUUAGUGAUGUGCGUUAUGUCCUAGACCUGAAGAUAAAUCUUAUUUCCUUGAGUACCCUUGAUUCAAACGGAUAUAGGUGCACUGGUGAAGAUGGAGUCGUAAAGGUUACUAAAGGUGCUUUUAUUGUGAUGAAGGGAAGAGAAAUUCUGUAAAUUUAUAUGUCUUGCAAGGCUCUAUGGUUACAGAUGAUGCAGACGUUUCUACCUCUUCUCUAUCAGAAAGUGACGUUGCUAAAAUUUAGCAUAUGCGCCUGGGGUAUACGAGUGAAAAUGGGAUGGUUGAACUUAGCAAGAGAGGACUUCUUGAUGGCUAGAGUAUUACCAAAUUGAAGUUCUGUGAGCACUGAAUUUUUAGAAAGCAAAAGAAAGUUAGAUUCACUAAAGACAUCCACUCAACUAAAGGCACACUUGAUUACAUUCAUUCUGAUCUCUGGGUCCUUCUACAGGAGGUGCGAAUUACCUGAUGACUAUUAUUGAUGACUAUUCCAGAAAAUUUUGGGUUUUCUUUCUGAAGCAAAAGAAUGAUGUGUUGCCUACUUUCAAGGAGUGAAAGAUUAUGAUUGAAAAGCAAACAGGGAAGCAGGUAAAACGUCUUUGGACUGACAAUGGUUUAGAGUUCUAUUCUAAUGAAUUUAAUGCUCUGGGCAAGUCAGAAGGAAUUGUGAGGCACUUGACAGUUCAUCAUAUUCCGCAGUGGAAUGGUGUGGCCGAACGAAUGAAUAGGACUAUAAUAGAGAAGUUGUGUUGUAUGCUCUCUAAUGCUGGUUUACCCAAGUCUUUUUGGGCUGAAGCUGCUUCCACAUCUUGUCUUCUUAUUAACCGCUCUCCCUCGAUCGUGAUUGAUAAAAAGACUCCACAAGAAGUAUAGUUUGGUACUCCUACUAGUUAUUCUGAUUUGAGGAUUUUUCGAUGUUCUGCUUAUGCACAUGUUGAUAAUGGAAAGUUGGAACUUAGAUCUGCUAAAUGCUUAUUUAUGGGUUAUAAGCCUGGUGUUAAAGGUUAUAAGCUUUGGUGUCCAGAAAACAGAAAGAUUAUAAUUAGCAGGGAUAUUGGGUUUGAUGAAACUGCCAUGCUUCGGGCUUCCUCCAAAUCUAGUGUUUCUCCCCCAGAUGAGCUUAACGACAUGAAUUAGCAAAAGUCAAGCACCCAUGUUGAGUUGCAGAUUGGAGCAGAGUCUACACCGGUGCCUACUUCUCAAUAUAGCCCGGAUAUACAGAGUGGUACUAUUUCUUCUUCACCACAAGUGACACCACAAUAUUCUAUUGUUAAAUACAGGCCUAGAAGAGAUAUUAGACCUCCUCAGAAGUAUGCUGAAGUUGAUUUGGUUGCAUAUGCGUUGAAUGUAGCAGAAGGUAUUGAUUUCGGUUAAGAACCUUCUUCUUACUCAAGGUAGUUAGUUGUGAUGAUUUCGGGCGAUGGAUGAUUGCUAUGCAAAAGGAGAUGAAAUCACUUCGUAAGAAUGACAUAUGGGAUUUGGUGAGAUUGCUUAAAGAUAAGAAAGUUGUCUAUUGCAAGUGGGUAUUUAAAAAUAAAGAAGGAACAUCAGGAGUUGAAGAUGCUAGAUACAAAGUAAGACUAGUUGCUAAAGGCUACAGUCAGGUUUCAGGUAUUGACUUCACAGAUGUGUUUUCUCCAGUUGUUAAGCAUAGCUCGAUUCAAGCCUUCCUUGGUAUUGUGGCCAUGCAUAAUUUUGAGCUUGAGCAGUUGGAUAUUAAAACUGCAUUCUUACAUGGAGAACUUGGGGAGAACAUCUAUAUGCAGUAACCAGGGGGCUUUGUAGUUUCAGGAAAGGAGGACUAUGGAUGCUUGCUGGAAAAGUCUUUUUAUGGCUUAAAACAGUCGCCCAGACAGUGGUGUAAGAGGUUUGACUCUUUUAUGACCUAUCAUACAUUUCAUAGGAGUAGUUAUGGUAGCUGUGUCUACUUCAAGAAGGUAAGUGAUGGUUCGUUCGUGUAUCUUCUCUUGUAUGUUGAUGAUAAUAAAAGUCAAAGCGCAGCUCAAGAAGGAGUUUGAGAUGAAGGAUUUAGGAGCAGCAAAGAAGAUUCUUGGCAUGAAAAUUACGAGGGAUAGAGAGAAGUGUAAGUUAUACUUGAGUAUAUUGAGAAGGUGUUUCACAGGUUCAAUAUGAAAAAUGCCAAGCCUGUCAGUACUCCAUUGGCAGCUCACUUUAGACUCUUGGUCACUUUAUCUCCAAAGACAUAUGAUGAGUGUGAUUAUAUGUCUUGAGUUCCAUACUCUAGUGUCGUCGGGUCUUUUAUGUAUGCGAUAAUGUGUUCCCGAUCAGAUUUAUCAUAUGCUGUCAGUGCAGUUAGCAAAUACAUGGCAAAUCCUGGCAAAGAACAUUGGAAAACAGUUCAGUGGAUUUUCAGAUACUUGCAUGGAUCUGCUGAUGUUUAUUUACAGUUUGGGCGAAAUAGAGAUGGAGUAAUCAGACAUGUUGAUUCUGAUAUUGCAGGAUACCUUGAUAAAAGGAGAUCCCUUACUGGCUAUGUUUUCACCAUUGGAGGUUGUGCUAUCAGUUGGAAAGCUACUUUACAAACUACGACUGCUUUGUCAACUACUGAGGCAGAGUACAUGGCUAUUACAGAGGCUUUCAAGGAAGUUAUUUGGUUGAAGGGUCUGUUUGGUGAACUUAGCAAAAACUUACAGAUUACUACGGUCUUUUGUGACAGUUAGAGUGUUAUCUUCCUUAUGAAAGAUCAGAUGUUUCAUGAGAGGACAAAGCACAUCGAUGUUUGGUAUCAUUUUGUGCGUGAAAUUAUUGCUCGUGGUGACAUUGUGUUAAGCAAGAUUAGUACCCAUGAUAACCCUGCUAAUAUGAUGACCAAGAAACUACCAAGUGCCAAAUUUGAGCAUUGCUUGGACGUGGUUAGUGUUAGCUGUUAAGAUGUGCCCUUAGGGGUUUUUGUGGAAGAGGUGGAGAGUUUGUCUUCAAAUGGAUUUGAAUUCUGAAUUAGAAUUCGUGUCAAGGUGGAGAUUGUUAGAGUUGUGACCCGAAUUUUGUUGGUUUGGCCCUGAAAGUUUCGCGGUGCGACCCAUGUUUGUGAUUUUCAAUGGGGUCAAUGGUGGGCUUGGGGAUCGGACUUAUGUUUUUGGGGUUAGGACCUAUUUGUAUGCACGCACUAUAUAAGUGUGAUUUAGUGGGUUAUUUUCAAUUAUUCAGAAAAUUCAACCUUCUCCACAUUGUACUCUCUCCCUAUUAUAGUGAAACCACCUCUGCCUCUGCCCGUGGUUUUUUCCACAAGGAUUUCCAUGUAAAUCUUGUUUUCUUUUACUUGUGGUUUCCUUAUUCUGUCCGAAUCAUAACACUUACUCUAACAAUUUGAAUAGAAAAAAAUAAUUUUCCCAGAUCUCGUAGGUAAAAAUAAAAUAUUUACAAGUAUAAGUGUCGCUUUACAAGACCAAAGUCUUAUUUUAUCGACAUAAAAUCCAAACAUAUGAAUAAAGGAUAUGCCUUUUAGUACCGAAUUUCAUUCACUAUGAAUGAAGAAAACACCCACGCUCGAUGUCUUAGCAGCGCGACUUACGUAGCCCAGCCUUUGAUUAUCAACUCUCUAUUCGCUACUCAAUUUUUGUAUUCUUUUUUCACAUUAUAAAGAGUUCAACAUUGCGGAUCUUUAAAUUUCAGAUGUGAAAUUUGUAACUCCAUGAAGUGAUUAUUUGUGAAUAUUAUCCACUGCUAGAGAUCAUUGCGGGCCUUCGGGUACAUGACUGGAACCGGCCCAAUGAGGAACAAAAUAAAUUGGACUGGGCCAAAUUGUUACUACCCUAGAAGAAGAAGCUAAGGCAUAAAAUGGACCCAAGGCUAGAGGACAACUCAGUGUAUUAAAGCUUCCGCGUGUAGAGGAUCGGGGAAAGAGACGGACCACGAGAGUCUAUUGACGCAACCUUACCUUGCAUUUCUGCCAGAGGCUGUUUACAAGACUUGAACUCAUAACUUCCUGGUCACAAUGCACUUAAAACUGAAUUCCAAACAACAUAACUCGUACUUUGCACCAUCAAAGCUUAUAAGCUAGUCCUGAUGACCUCCUGGUCGCAAUGCACUUAAAAACUGAAUUCCAAACAACAUAACUCAUACUUUGCACCAUCAAAGCUUAUAAUCUUGUCCUCAUGACCUCCUGAUCGCAAUGCACUUAAAAACGGAAUUCCAAACUGCAUAACUCGUACUUUGCAACAUCAAAGCUUAUAGUCUAGUCCUUAUGACCUCCUGGUCACAAUGCACUUAAAAACUGAAUUUCAAACAACAUAACUCGUACUUUAGACCAUCAAAGCUUAUAGUCUAGUGCGUAUCACUGGAGUUCUCCCAUACAAUGGGUGCCGGUUACAUUCUUAUUGGCCUAUUUCGUCUUCCCUUUAGCAAACUAUGUGUGAGAUAAGACGGAUUCAAAAUUUAAAGUCAAAGAUGCAGAAUCAACUAGGACUGUCUCACUAUUCCUUUGUAACUGAACAACAUAUUAGUAACACUGUAAAUUAGUCUAAAUUGUUCAAAUAUAACCAAUCAAGCUGAGAUACUAAAAUGAAAGUGGUAUUAUUGACUUGAAAGUGUUUACUUCAAGCACCAAAGUGAACAAGUACCCAACAUGACUUGAAAAAAGUGAAACAAAGAAGAUGAUUACAAUACUUGAACAUACAAGUACAACUUUAAACUUAUUCAGUUUCCAACAUCAUCGUAAUAAAACACAAGAUAUCGAAAGUUCGGUACAAAAUACAACAUUAUCACAGGAAAAAACAGUACAGUUUAUAGCACCAACGCGAACGUUUUCUUGUAUUAGUCCUUCAGCAUUGCAACUUGAAACAUUUCCCGUUUCCAACUGUUUUCAUCUUCACAUUGUUGGCUUCACAGUGAGACGAGAAGCGACCUUCUGACCACAAGACUUGUCAGCCUGCAAUGUAUUCAUACAAAAAGAUUGGUUUUGUUUACCGCGCUUCAUUAGGACAGAAGAAUCAUGGUAAAGAAGGGAAAAACUCAAACCUGAGACAAGUAUGAUAUCCAUAUACUGCGUAUCUCAUGAGUGACUCGGGGAUCGGAUAAAGACUCAACCCAUUUGUUGAUAUAUCUGUCUUGCCUGAAAUAGCAAGGAUACUCAGUUAUCCCCGCGUGUUUAAGAGGGGGGAGAAUGGCGAUAUUAAUAUGAUAGAAGAACCAAAUUACCUGUCAGGUGCCCAGGAUCUGUAUCUCUCCCCAGCCUGCUUGAAGUUGUUCUCUUUCGGAAUGACACACUAAAAAACCGACAUGAUAAGUGAGUGAAAAUUAAACUCAUUUGUAGAUUAAUAAAACGUGAUUUAUCAGUAUAGAUGAGCAAUAAGAAAGAUAGGCCUCACCUUUUCACGCCUUCCUGUCAAGACACAAGAAGGAAUUGGGUACUGCUCGGCAGGACGACAAGGAUCAAACCUUGAGGGCAAAUAAUCCACCUGGAAAAUUUAGUAAUACAUCAGAAGAGUACUAAUAGGAACUUGCAAUGUGCCUUGGUAAAGUCGACAAUGUUCAAAAACUCACAUGCCACCUUAUAGUACUGAGGACAACGAAAAUAUAAGGACAAAAUAAAAUAGCACUAGUUGACUGGUGCGUAAUACCUCCUCAUCGCGAUGCAUGAAGUUCAUGGCACCAUCACGGUGAUUAUUGUGAUGAGCACACUUGGGAGCGUUAACUGGGAGCUGCAUAUAGUUUGGUCCAAUACGGUGUCUCUGAGUAUCAGCAUAUGCAAAUAUCCUAGUCUGGAGAAGCUUAUCCUCCGAAUAGUAGACACCAGGGACAAUAUGUCCAGGGUUAAAUGCGAGCUGCUCGUUCUCUGCAAAGAAGUUAUCGAUGUUCCUAUUCAAUACCAAUCGACCAACUGGCAUCAAUGGCAAGAUAUCCUCAGGCCAGGUCUUGGUUACGUCAAGAGGGUCAAAGUCGAAUUUGUCAACAUCCUCAGGGUUCAUAAUUUGGAUAAAAAGUUUCCACUCGGGGUAGUUUCCAGCAGCAAUUGAAUCAUAGAGAUCCUUGGUGGCGUGGCUAUGAUUAGUACCUCCGACCCUAAUAGCUUCUUCCUCCGUCAUGGACUUGACACCGCAAGUUGGCUUCCAGUGGAACUUCACAUAAUGUGCUUUCCCAGCUUUGUUGAUCAAUUGAUAAGCGUGAACACCAAAACCUUCCAUGUGUCU